GACAUUUCAAAAACAUAAAGAAGCUUUUACUAUCCUCCUUUAUAUUCUUGGCUAGCUUACCUCCGUACCUCAUCCUUUCUCCCCGUAUUGCCUUUUUAGUUAUCAUCUGUUAUUCUUUAAAAGUUGCUCAAUCCUCUGGCUUACCGCUCAUCUUUUCUGUUAUACCUCUUUUCUGUUAUUCCUCUUCCUACAAUCAGUCUGAAGCAGGAUCCUGACCUAAAACAUCACUCAUCCAUCGCGUUAUGAUGCUAUGUGAAAAGUCAGUGAUGUACCGUGGAAAACAUUAAAACUAUCAAUUCAGCAUUCCUAAAAAUCCUGCUUUGAAAUAUAUCUUUGCACAAAUGAAUGUUACAUCUCUCAUUUUCAUUCCCUCCACAGAGGUGUCUGACCCUCUGAGUUACUCCAGUGCUUUGUAGAUAUUUCUUACCUGGCAUAAUUAUUGGAGCCGCUUCUGGUUUCAGCCUUGAAUUAAUAUUGCAUUUGAAUCAUCAUGGCCUAUGUCAUCUUUGGACUUUGACCUAAACAGUUGAAAAGAACCACACAACCAUCAGGAGGUAAAUCAGCAAGUAUAUUUAAAUUGUCUAGCUGGGCUUCUGCUGAAUGGGAUGGGCUAAAUAGAUCCCAAUAGGAGUGGACUUGUGUGUACUCUUUCUCUUUUCCCUUUUAAAUUCCAGUCACAUUUAACAACGUCCAUCCAGAAGUGAGGUUCAUACAUCAAUUGACUUGACCUCUCUGGAAAAAGUUUGUUUUUGCUUGAUUUGAGGGACUGACCUUUUCUUGAAACAAGAAUUAAUAAAUAGGUUUUCAAGAAGGAACUGCAGAUGCUGGAAGAUCGAAGGUACACAAAAAUGCUGGAGAAACUCAGCGGGUGCAGCAGCAUCUAUGGAGCGAAGGAAAUAGGCGACGUUUCGGGCCGAAACCCUUCUUCAGAAUAAAUAGCCUGCUGGGCAUGUCCCACAGCCUCGCCGUUGAGAAAUGAUGACAGUAAGAAGAAUUACAUCUGCUUGUAACUGUCCUAUUCAACACAUUUCCACUCACUUUAUAAAGAAAUAUUCUCUUUGUUCUGGGACUUGAGGGAGGUCACAUGCAGGAGGUGCAAAGAGACUUGAGAGCGCUGGUGCAGGAUGCCCGAAAGAUUCAUUUGGACGAUGAAUUUGAUAGUAAGGAAGGUAAAUGCAGUGUUAGCAUUUAUUUCGAGAGAAUGAAUGAAUAAGUUUAUUGUCCAAGUAUGUUCACAUACAAGGAAUUUUCCUUGGUGCUCCGCUCACAAGUAACAACACGACAUACAGUGACAAUUAAGAAUGACACAUAAAACAUUCAACAUUAAUAAUACAACAUUAUCGUUUAAACGUGAAUGAAAUAAAAUACCAGAGCAAAAGGAGGCUACAGAUUUUUGGUUAUUGAGUAGAGCUACUGCUCGUGG